rnacentral:rRNA from 1 species
UAUGUGAUCGUCUCUCGCAUAUCAAUAAGCGGAGGAAAAGAAACUAACAAGGAUUCCCCUAGUAACAGCGAGUGAAGCGGGAAGAGCUCAAAUUUGAAAUCUUAAAGGGUUUCCCUUUACGAAUUGUAGUUUAAAGAAGUGUUUUCUGUUGAGGUUUUGGUAAAAGUUCUUUGGAAUAGGACAUCAUAGAGGGUGAGAAUCCCGUAUUUGACCUUUACCUUUCAACUUUGUGAUACACUUUCAAAGAGUCGGAUUGUUUGGGAAUGCAGUCCAAAAUGGGUGGUAAAUUUCAUCUAAAGCUAAAUAUUGGCGAGAGACCGAUAGCGAACAAGUACCGUGAGGGAAAGGAUGAAAAGAACUUUGAAAAGAGAGUCAAACAGUACGUGAAAUUGUCAAAAGGGAAGCGUUUGACACCAGUGUUGUUUUUCUGAAAAUCAAUUAAAGAACUGUUUAUGCUAAGUUGUUUAGACUUUAUCAGCUAACUGUUUAGUUUUGAGCUUUUCCUUAAUGCACUUUUCAGUUAACAAGUCAACAUCAAUUUCUUUUGCUGUAAAAAAGCUUGAGGAAGGUGGCUUGAGAUUCGUCUUAAGUGUUUAUAGCCUCUUGCCUAUGCAGUCGGAGAGAUUGAGGUCUGCAGCGUAGAUCCUUCGGGGCUAAAUGCAUUUGUGCUAAGUUAUAGCAUUUUAUAGACAACUUGUUGACUAUGAUUUGUCUUGUAGCUUACUCGCUUAUGUUAUUUUACCUACGCUUAGGAUGUUGAGUCAUCACACAUCUCU